UACGUAGGGUGCAAGGCGUUAAUCGGAAUUACUGGGCGUAAAGCGUGCGCAGGCGGUUGAUGUAAGACAGAUGUGAAAUCCCCGGGCUCAACCUGGGAACUGCAUUUGUGACUGCAUCGCUGGAGUGCGGCAGAGGGGGAUGGAAUUCCGCGUGUAGCAGUGAAAUGCGUAGAUAUGCGGAGGAACACCGAUGGCGAAGGCAAUCCCCGUGGGCCUGCACUGACGCUCAUGCACGAAAGCGUGGGGAGCAAACAGG
rnacentral:rRNA from 1 species